CCUACGGGAGGCUGCAGUGAGGAAUAUUGGUCAAUGGACGAGAGUCUGAACCAGCCAAGUAGCGUGAAGGAUGACUGCCCUAUGGGUUGUAAACUUCUUUUAUAUGGGAAUAAAAUGUUCCACGUGUGGGAUUUUGUAUGUACCAUAUGAAUAAGGAUCGGCUAACUCCGUGCCAGCAGCCGCGGUAAUACGGAGGAUCCGAGCGUUAUCCGGAUUUAUUGGGUUUAAAGGGAGCGUAGGUGGAUUGUUAAGUCAGUUGUGAAAGUUUGCGGCUCAACCGUAAAAUUGCAGUUGAAACUGGCAGUCGUGAGUACAGUAGAGGUGGGCGGAAUGCGUGGUGUAGCGGUGAAAUGCUUAGAUAUCACGAAGAACUCCGAUUGCGAAGGCAGCUCACUGGACUGCAACUGACACUGAGGCUCGAAAGUGUGGGUAUCAAACAGGAUUAGAUACCCGAGUAGUC
rnacentral:rRNA from 1 species